rnacentral:rRNA from 1 species
AUGGUUCAGUGAGGCGUUCGGACUGGCCGAUAGAGGUCGGCAACGACCACCGUUGGCCGGAAAGUUCUCCAAACUCGAUCAUUUAGAGGAAGUAAAAGUCGUAACAAGGUCUCCGUUGGUGAACCAGCGGAGGGAUCAUUG